rnacentral:rRNA from 1 species
GAUGAACGCUGGCGGCGUGCCUAAUACAUGCCAGUCGAGCGAACGGACGAGAAGCUUGCUUCUCUGAUGUUAGCGGCGGACGGGUGAGUAACACGUGGAUAACCUACCUAUAAGACUGGGAUAACUUCGGGAAACCGUAGCUAAUACCGGAUAAUAUUUUGAACCGCAUGGUUCAAAAGUGAAAGACGGUCUUGCUGUCACUUAUAGAUGGAUCCGCGCUGCAUUAGCUAGUUGGUAAGGUAACGGCUUACCAAGGCAACGAUGCAUAGCCGACCUGAGGGGGUGAUCGGCCACACUGGAACUGAGACACGGUCCAGACUCCUACGGGAGGCAGCAGUAGGGAAUCUUCCGCAAUGGGCGAAAGCCUGACGGAGCAACGCCGCGUGAGUGAUGAAGGUCUUCGGAUCGUAAAACUCUGUUAUUAGGGAAGAACAUAUGUGUAAGUAACUGUGCACAUCUUGACGGUACCUAAUCAGAAAGCCACGGCUAACUACGUG